AGAGUUUGAUCCUGGCUCAGGAUGAACGCUGGCGGCGUGCCUAAUACAUGCAAGUCGAGCGAACGGACGAGAAGCUUGCUUCUCUGAUGUUAGCGGCGGACGGGUGAGUAACACGUGGAUAACCUACCUAUAAGACUGGGAUAACUUCGGGAAACCGGAGCUAAUACCGGAUAAUAUUUUGAACCGCAUGGUUCAAAAGUGAAAGACGGUCUUGCUGUCACUUAUAGAUGGAUCCGCGCUGCAUUAGCUAGUUGGUAAGGUAACGGCUUACCAAGGCAACGAUGCAUAGCCGACCUGAGAGGGUGAUCGGCCACACUGGAACUGAGACACGGUCCAGACUCCUACGGGAGGCAGCAGUAGGGAAUCUUCCGCAAUGGGCGAAAGCCUGACGGAGCAACGCCGCGUGAGUGAUGAAGGUCUUCGGAUCGUAAAACUCUGUUAUUAGGGAAGAACAUAUGUGUAAGUAACUGUGCACAUCUUGACGGUACCUAAUCAGAAAGCCACGGCUAACUACGUGCCAGCAGCCGCGGUAAUACGUAGGUGGCAAGCGUUAUCCGGAAUUAUUGGGCGUAAAGCGCGCGUAGGCGGUUUUUUAAGUCUGAUGUGAAAGCCCACGGCUCAACCGUGGAGGGUCAUUGGAAACUGGAAAACUUGAGUGCAGAAGAGGAAAGUGGAAUUCCAUGUGUAGCGGUGAAAUGCGCAGAGAUAUGGAGGAACACCAGUGGCGAAGGCGACUUUCUGGUCUGUAACUGACGCUGAUGUGCGAAAGCGUGGGGAUCAAACAGGAUUAGAUACCCUGGUAGUCCACGCCGUAAACGAUGAGUGCUAAGUGUUAGGGGGUUUCCGCCCCUUAGUGCUGCAGCUAACGCAUUAAGCACUCCGCCUGGGGAGUACGACCGCAAGGUUGAAACUCAAAGGAAUUGACGGGGACCCGCACAAGCGGUGGAGCAUGUGGUUUAAUUCGAAGCAACGCGAAGAACCUUACCAAAUCUUGACAUCCUUUGACAACUCUAGAGAUAGAGCCUUCCCCUUCGGGGGACAAAGUGACAGGUGGUGCAUGGUUGUCGUCAGCUCGUGUCGUGAGAUGUUGGGUUAAGUCCCGCAACGAGCGCAACCCUUAAGCUUAGUUGCCAU
rnacentral:rRNA from 4 species